UACGGGGGGGGCAAGCGUUGUUCGGAAUUACUGGGCGUAAAGGGCGCGUAGGCGGCCUGCUAAGUCGGAUGUGAAAUCCCUCGGCUCAACCGAGGAACUGCAUCCGAUACUGGCGGGCUUGAAUCCGGGAGAGGGAUGUGGAAUUCCAGGUGUAGCGGUGAAAUGCGUAGAUAUCUGGAGGAACACCGGUGGCGAAGGCGGCAUCCUGGACCGGUAUUGACGCUGAAGCGCGAAAGCUAGGGGAGCAAACGGG
rnacentral:rRNA from 1 species